rnacentral:tRNA from 11 species
CGGGGCGUGGCUCAGCCUGGUAGAGCAUUCGCUUUGGGAGCGAAGGGUCGCAAGUUCAAAUCUUGCCGCCCCGACCA